ensembl:lncRNA
UUAAUACAUUCCUUUAUGAUCAACACUGCCCGCCGGCUGCUCUGCUAGCUGGCUGCAAAAUGUGGACUGGAUUUGCUGAACGGGUCUCAAUUAGUUCAUUCGAACUUAUUUAGACCCGACUCCGUUCAGAAAAUCCACUCCACAUUUUGCAGCCAGCUAGCAGACUAGCAUCGAGCAGCGCUGUGGCUAACCAACUUUUCAUCACAACCUCAGACGGUCUCUGAUCGCAACAUGUCGGCUGUGUGGAGAUUUUUUUCGCUAGACACACCGAAAAGCAAGACGGCAAGAUGCGAUGUCUGUAAAGCCGGUGUACCGAGAGGCGGAAGCUGCGUGGCGACCUUCAACACGACGAACUUAAUCAGACAUUUGAGAACGCACCACACUAAAGAGCACGAGGAUUUUCUAUCCAUGGGGCAGAAAGACCACAGGGGGAGGCAGGAACCACUUCUGGAGGCAUUCCUGAAACAAGAAAAAGAUGAGCAGAGCUUGAACCAGAUGUUGGAGGAGCCGGAGCAGAGCCAAGAAAACCAGCCGUCUGUAGCAGCAGCAGGCGGUAUCUCCAACCCAGUCAGCAGGCCAAGAGGGAAACGACUGAACCUCCACGAGAAACUGGCCGUAGAGUUCCAUGAGCGUAAAUUACAGUAUUUAAAAGAAGAGCAUGAACUCAAGAUGAGAAUCCUUCAGGUUGAGUUGUCGAUCAAAGAGAUAGAGAGAGACACAAAGCAGCAGCAACAAGUUAGUGUUCUUUGUAACGGCGUCCCCGUUAACGUUGUGACUUUGUGAAUUAAAAACAUUACAGUACAAUAACAGUUCAGCCAAAUUUUAUGAAGCAAUGAACCAUCUCCAUCACUUCUCUUCAUCUUUGCCAUUUUCAGAGUAUGACACAUUAGGCAGAGAACACAAAAUGUAAUACAUAAAGCAAAAUAACACAAAUGCCAUCACUUGUUUAUCGUUCUACACGUUUGUUUUUUUUUUUUUGUUUUUUUUUUUAUUUAUUUAAUGAAAAGUGCUGCAAAGCAAAGGUGUCUCUGUAAAUGUGUCCAGUUUCAUCAUUGGCUACUUCUGCCAUGGGAACAUGUGGCUCAUUGCAAUAAUCAGUUGGUGGGUCAGAAGGUUCCAUAUGCCAAAAAGCUCAAGGUGAUAAGUACCUGUAAGGAGGGAGGUGUGGAAGUUCCCCUCACUGAGGCACAGGAAAGCUUUGUCUGAAGCAAACAAAAGAUCUCAGCUGCAUUGUGUUUGUACGUAUGAAAACACAAACUCAUUCAGCAGGUUACUUCUAUCUCUGAGCUAUCUUCUUUCUGGUCUUGGUGGUGGUCUUUCAGCUUCAUUAAUGUACUCAAGGUAGUCCAUUUUCACUGUGAGGCCUACAGCCUUUACUCUGAAGUUUAGUCUUGACUUAGACCUGGGUUAGCUCUGGUCUCCUGUCAAGAAAGGAAAUUAUUUAACUCGAGACUAAGACAAGUCUGAGACUAUUUUAGUCCAUGUCUGAGACCAUUUUAGUGAGUCCUGGUUUAUAAUGUGAUUUAGUCGAGAACUAGAGCUCAAUCCCUGUACGGGAAACCGGGCCAAUUAGUAGUGAUGACCAAAUGAAGCUUUCUGAAGCUUGUAUCGGAAAAAGGGUUCAUUACUUGAAGCUUCUAUACACAGUUUUCUUUGGUGGCAUCUGGUGGCCAAAAGUAUGAAGAGCAGCUUGAAUCUACAACUUGAAAUGAGCUGCGCCAUUAUGGUUGUGGAUUCUACAGAGUUGAGUUGACAGCUGUUUGACAUCAUACGACAGUUCUGUCUGAUAUCAGCUGUGGUGCUAUGAACAUGUAGGUUUUUGGGGGGAAAAAAUAGUCUUUUGUUUACUUGAUGAAUAAACUUUCCUUGUUUAGACGUUCCAUGGUGUGGUCUCCAUUUACUUGGGAUAUCUUGAUGUUUGUUAACAUAAUAGAUAGACAUUAUAUAUAAAAAUGUAGAAUAUGAUCCUACAAUAACUUGGGAGUAUGCAUGUGCUAUGAAGUCCCUGCCUCCAAGUGCUUUUGUAAUUAAUUAACCAGCAGACAGGUACGUUUAUAUGUAAAUCUGUUGUGUAGGACUAGAUGUUGAUAUCCCUUCUUGCAUACAUGAGAC